rnacentral:rRNA from 1 species
UGGGGGAUAUUGCACAAUGGGCGAAAGCCUGAUGCAGCGACGCCGCGUGGGGGAUGAAGGCCUUCGGGUUGUAAACUUCUUUUGCUCUGAACAAGGCAUGCUAAUGGGUGUGUUGAGUGUAGGGGUUGAUUAGCGCCGGCUAACUACGUGCCAGCAGCCGCGGUAAUACGUAGGGCGCGAGCGUUGUCCGGAAUUAUUGGGCGUAAAGGGCUUGUAGGUGGCUGGUUGCGUCUGUCGUGAAAGCUCAUGGCUUAUCUGUGGGUUUGCGGUGGGUACGGGCUGGCUUGAGUACAGUAGGCGAGGCUUGAAUUCCUGGUGUAGCGGUGGAAUGCGCAGAUAUCAGGAGGAAUACCGGUGGCGAAGGCGGGUCUCUGGGCUGUUACUGACACUGAGGAGCGAAAGAAUGAGGAGCGAACAGG